GACGAACCGAGCGAACGUUAUUCGGAAUCACUGGGCUUAAAGGGCGCGUAGGCGGGCCAUCAAGUCAGGGGUGAAAGCCCCCAGCUCAACUGGGGAAGUGCCUCUGAUACUGGUGGCCUCGAGGGAGGUAGGGGCGUGCGGAACUUCCGGUGGAGCGGUGAAAUGCGUAGAUAUCGGAAGGAACACCGGUGGCGAAAGCGGCGCGCUGGACCGCUUCUGACGCUGAGGCGCGAAAGCCAGGGGAGCGAACGGG
rnacentral:rRNA from 1 species